rnacentral:snoRNA from 1 species
UUCCAAAAUGUCGAGUUCAGUCCAGGACAGCAUUCUCUGUUCUGUUAAUUAAACUAAGAGACAUUGAAAUAGGCUAGAAAAGACAAUUAGAUAGAAGGUAUUAUUCUAAUCCUUAGCCUCUCAGUCUACAAAA